rnacentral:rRNA from 1 species
AUUGAACGCUGGCGGCAGGCUUAACACAUGCAAGUCGAGCGGAGCGAGGGUGCUUGCACCUUAGCUUAGCGGCGGACGGGUGAGUAAUGCUUAGGAAUCUGCCUAUUAGUGGGGGACAACAUUCCGAGAGGGAUGCUAAUACCGCAUACGCCCUACGGGGGAAGGCAGGGGAUCUUCGGACCUUGCGCUAAUAGAUGAGCCUAAGUCGGGUUAGCUAGUUGGUGGGGUAAAGGCCUACCAAGGCGACGAUCUGUAGCGGGUCUGAGAGGAUGAUCCGCCACACUGGGACUGAGACACGGCCCAGACUCCUACGGGAGGCAGCAGUGGGGAAUAUUGGACAAUGGGGGGAACCCUGAUCCAGCCAUGCCGCGUGUGUGAAGAAGGCCUUUUGGUUGUAAAGCACUUUAAGCGAGGAGGAGGCCCUCUAGGUUAAUACCCUAGAUGCGUGGACGUUACUCGCAGAAUAAGCACCGGCUAACUCUGUGCCAGCCGCCGCGGUAACAC